ensembl:lncRNA
CCUGAGUGGGAAAUGGAGCUCGCCGGACCCCGAGGCCACCCUGUAAGCAGGGUAGUGCCGUUUCCCUGCCCCUCUUCCUCCCCCGGCCCCUCGGCAUCGUUGCCUGAUGGUGGCUUGUCAACGCGACGGCCCCGUACUCGGGGUGUGUGUCCCAAGCUUUGGAGCCCUCUGUCCCUGAGCAGCCCGCCCGCCCUGUAAUCAGGUGUGGGGAGGCUGCAGCGUUGCAGCCGGCUGCUUUAGCCAUCCAGCUGGUGGGAGUGACCCCUCCCUGUCCCGUCAGAGGGUGCAGGUUGAGGUGCUGUUUGUGUGUGGGGUGACCUCCCCGCUCGGUGGGUCGAGGUAGCUCCCUGGGCUUCCAAAGACGAGACGUUGGUGAUGUUCUGCUGCUGCCGGGCGGGCCAGCCUGUAACUCAGGCGUUGGCGGGAGCCUCGUGCUCCACGGGGCUUCUUGAAGAGGGUGAGGUGUGGGGGUACCGUCCUGUAGGCAGGGCUGUGUGUGCCCCCCGUGUGUGCUUGGUGAGCUGUGUUCUGAGAGACCCCCUGUACUCAGGUGGGAAUGUGGCCCCGGCCUUUCAGAGGCGCGGGGCCGUGAGAUGCGGGGUGGGGCUUGCGCCCUCCCUGGAAUCGGGGCUGGGAUCCCGACUGCGGCCUUUGGCCGUGCCGCCCCGCUGCCUGGCUGCUGAGAGUUGCUCCUGCCGCUGGGGGGGAAACCGAGCUCUGUGGCUCCAGG